UGCGUAGGCGGCUUGAUAAGUCAGUGGUGAAAGCCCAGAGCUCAACUUUGGAAUUGCCAUUGAUACUGUCAAGCUUGAGUAUAGUUGAAGUAGGCGGAAUGUAGCAUGUAGCGGUGAAAUGCUUAGAUAUGCUACAGAACACCGAUUGCGAAGGCAGCUUACUAAACUAUUACUGACGCUGAGGCACGAAAGCGUGGGGAGCGAACAGGAUUAGAUACCCUGGUAGUCC
rnacentral:rRNA from 1 species